UAGGCGGCAGGCUAACACAUGCAAGUCGAGCGGCAGCGCGGGGGCAACCCUGGCGGCGAGCGGCGGACGGGUGAGGAACACAUCGGAAUCUACCUUGUCGUGGGGGAUAACGUAGGGAAACUUACGCUAAUACCGCAUACGACCUACGGGUGAAAGCGGCGGACCGCAAGGCGUCGCGCGAUUGGAUGAGCCGAUGUCCGAUUAGCUAGUUGGCGGGGUAAAGGCCCACCAAGGCGACGAUCGGUAGCUGGUCUGAGAGGACGACCAGCCACACUGGAACUGAGACACGGUCCAGACUCCUACGGGAGGCAGCAGUGGGGAAUAUUGGACAAUGGGCGCAAGCCUGAUCCAGCCAUGCCGCGUGGGUGAAGAAGGNCUUCGGGUUGUAAAGCCC
rnacentral:rRNA from 1 species